UGAUUAUGUCAUAAAGGUGGGGGUCUCAUGAAUGAAAUGAAGGCCCUUGUAAAAGUGACCUUGGAGAGCUAGUUAGCUUCUUCUACCAUGAGAGGACACAGAAAAAACACAUGACAGCUAGAAGCGGGUCCCCACCAAACGUCAAAUCUGCCAGUGCUUUUAUUUUGGACUUCUCAGCUUCUAGAACUGUUUUGUACGUCUGCAUGCAAAUCUCUGCACACUCAGACAAAGGGGCAGAAAUUAAAGACACACAAAAGAAUCCUCCAUCAUAGUACAUCAAUACUACAGACUGCAAUGCAGCUAUUAACAAGAAUGUGAUAGAGCUACAUGAACGGCCUUGAAAAGAGUCCAUAUAUGUCCAUAUGGCUAAACAGGAAAGCAAUGCAACGAAAUUCUCAUAGAUUCAUGAGGAAAAAUCUACCAUCAUAUAAAAACCCCACAAAAAUAUCAAGA